AGCCCCCUCUGGAUUGAUCUAGGUGUCAGUAACGCACAGGUUUUCCAGCUCUAAGCAGAGAGGAGAGUACACAGAAGAAGGACAGAGUGACUGUGUGACUGGGUGUGUGUGUGUGAGUGAGAGAGUGUGUGGGAGGUCGUGCAGCAUGCAGCAGUAGAGAGGAUACACACACUCGCCAUGGCGUGUCCCCCGCCCCCUCCCCCUGUUUAAGAAGAGCUACGUCCUCCCUCUAACUCACCACUGGGGGCUUCAGAGUGGAGCCCCACACACCACAUCACACCACACCACACACACCGGCCCACUACAAUCCCAGGUGUGUGUGUGCGAGUUGGGUUCUCGCCCCCUUCCUGAGGGAAGAUGUCUGUGGUGAUGCCCCUGGAUGGGGUGAGGGAGGGGGAGAGUGUGCUGGUUACUGAGACCCCAGCCGGCACGCGCUGCAAAGGAAACACCAAUUUACCUGGCAAAGACAACUGCACUGACAACAACAACACAGAGCCUGACGACAACCUCUCACAAGACACACAGAAACGCUGUCAGAACCAUGGCCAUACCAGGAAAAGAGCCAAGUCCAAUGCCAAGCUGAAGCUGGUGCGGAGUCUAGCAGUAUGUGAAGAGUCAUCGGGUCCAUUCUCAACUGAUGGACCUCCAGAGACGCAGGACAUCAUUCAGCUACACAUCAGCUGUCCUUCAGACAAAGAAGAGGAGAAAUCCUCGAAAGAUGAGUACGAGAGUGAGGAGAGGGAGAAGAAGGACAAGACUCCUCGCAAGAUGCUCUCGCGGGACUCCAGUCAGGAGUACACAGACUCCACGGGCAUCGAUGUGCACGAGUUCUUGGUGAACACACUGAAAAACAACCCCAGGGACAGAAUGAUGCUACUGAAGCUGGAACAAGAUAUACUGGAGUUCAUCAAUGAUGACAAUAAUCAGUAUAAGAAGUUCCCUCAGAUGACCUCUUACCAUCGCAUGCUACUGCAUCGGGUGGCAGCAUAUUUUGGAAUGGACCACAACGUGGACCAAACUGGCAAAGCAGUCAUCAUCAACAAAACGAGCAACACGCGCAUCCCUGAACAGAGGUUUUCUGAGCACAUUAAGGACGAAAGGAACAUGGAUUUCCAAAAGAAAUUCAUUCUCAAGAGGGAUGAUGCAAGCAUGGACAAAGACGAUAACCAGAUCCGGGUUCCACUCCAGGAUGGUCGACGCAGUAAGUCCAUUGAGGAGAGGGAGGAGGAGUAUCAGCGUGUUCGAGAUAGAAUCUUUGCUCGGGAAGUAAUAACUUUCAGCCUUUGUCUUCCUAAUGUGACCCCCAGACUGUCCACUGACGGCUACUCCUCUUCCUCCCAUAAGAGGAGGCAGAUCUUUAGGGGUAAUAAGGAGAGUUCGAGCAGAGCGUCCAGCAGCCGGCAGAGCAGCACAGACAGCGAUAUGAAGAGUCUGGAGCCACGGCCGUGGAGCAGCACAGACUCGGACAGUUCCAACCGCACACUGCGGCCACCCGUCACCAAGGCCAGCAGCUUCAGUGGCAUCUCUAUCCUCACACGCGGCGACAGCCUGGGCAGCAAGGGCUCGCAGGGUAGUCUCCCUCUCAUCACCACAGAGACAUGCCCCCAGCCCCAGCCCCCCCAGCAGGGACGCAGCCUCUUGCCCUGUCCUUCCAACUGCCCCUCUAAUGCCCCUCCACCCCAGAACCAGGCGCCCCCACCACCCCCACAAACUCCGGUGGCCUCUCUGCAGCCCUCUCCGCAGCCUGUCUCAUACUCCAGCCCCUCCUGCCCUCAGGUCAUCCUGCCUGUUUCUCCUUCUCAGCAGUAUAACAUGGGAGAUGAGUUGACCCCAGGCUUCGGGCAGAUGUCUCUGAGCCGCCAGGGCUCCAGCGAGGCUCCAGAGCCACCCACCCUCUACCAGCCUCCUCCUGCCGUCCUGUCCCAGCACCCCCCACCACAGCCAAGUUACAUCAUGCCCCCACCGCCCUCUGGGUACCAACCGCCCACACCUCACCCACACCCUCCUCCACCCCCUCCGCCUCCUACCCAGCCUGUACUGCAGACAGCACCGCCUGCUCAGGGCUACAUGCAGCCCCCGCCACCACCUCAGCAGAUCCAGGUGCAGUAUUACUCAGCUGGUGGGCAGUAUCCGAGUUCAGGACAGCAGUACAGGUCCAUAUCCCACCAAGUGUCAUACCCUGCUCAACGCUCUCAGACCCUCCCCCCACCAACGCAGCCCUCCGCUCCUCUCCAGCCUAUGAUGGCGAGUCAGCAGCCAACGUAUCAGAGCAUGAUGGGAGUUCAGCAGCCGCAGAGUGCCAGUAUAAUGAGCUCACAGCGCACAGGCAUGAGCGGACAGAUGCAAGGCAUGAUGGUCCAGUACACACCCAUGCCCUCCUAUCAGGUGGCCGUAGCUAAUGAAACCCAGCCUGUGGUGCAGCAGCAGUACCAGCAGCCUGUCAUGGUGCCUGUUAGCCAGUCUGUCCAGGGUGCCAUGCCAACCCCUGCACCCAUGCCAGUCUACUACAGUGUCUUGACCCCCACACAACAGAACAGCACAAGUCCAUCUGUGGGCUACCUGCAGCCUCCCAGUUCAGAUCAGUACCAGAUGACCCAGUCUCCGUCCCCCUGCAGCCCUCAGCAGAUACAGCAGCAGUAUUCAGGAGUGCCGCCCCCUGGUCCAGGUGUCAUGGUGAUGCAGCUGAGUGUUCCAAAUGGGCCACAGUCUACUCAGAAUCCUCCUAUGGUGCAGUGGAAUCCCUGCAAGUAUUAUAGCGUGGAGCAGAGACCCAGCAAGCCUGAGCCACAGGUCAGCACUCAGUUAAGUAGUCCUUUGGCAUCUCCUACUCAGUCUCCCACUCCGUCUCCAUCCAGCAGCGGGAACAGUGUGUGCCCUGGACUCGGCCCACUUCCACUCAUUUCUCAGUUUCCUCGGCCUGGAGGACCCGCACAAGGUGACUGCACUGGGGUGGUGAGCCGUGUGUUGGAGGUGACGGAUCUACCCGAGGGCAUCUCUCGUCUAGAUGCCGAGAAGCUCUUCAACCAGCUCUCACUCUGCGGUGCCAAAAUCCAGUGGCUGAAGGACCCCCAGGUGCCCCGGGGGCCCACAACGGCCCCGGGACCCGGGGGAGGAUGCGGAAUGGGCAAAAACGAUGCACAUGACCCAGCCCACCUCUACACAGUGGUGGCCGUGUUCCCAAACACCAUGGCUGCCCAGAGCGCGUCCUUCAAGCUGAACAACAGUGGAGGAAGCCUGUUCAAACUGCGCGCCGCCAAAAAGAACUAUGACCUGCGCGUGCUGGAGCGAGCCAGCUCCCAGUGA
ensembl:lncRNA